rnacentral:rRNA from 1 species
UACGUAGGGGGCAAGCGUUGUCCGGAGUUACUGGGCGUAAAGCGCACGCAGGCGGUCUGCUAAGUUUGGAGUGACAGUUGGUGGCUCAACCACCAAAGUGCUUUGAAAACUGACAGACUUGAGGGCUUCAGAGGGACACGGAAUUCCGGGUGGAGUGGUGAAAUGCGUAGAGAUCCGGAGGAACACCGAAGGCGAAGGCAGUGUCCUGGGGAGUACCUGACGCUCAGGUGCGAAAGCUAGGGGAGCGAACGGGA